ACGGGAGGCAGCAGUGGGGAAUAUUGGGCAAUGGGCGCAAGCCUGACCCAGCAACGCCGCGUGAAGGAAGAAGGUUUUCGGAUUGUAAACUUCUGUCCUUGGUGACGAAGGAAGUGACGGUAGCCAAGGAGGAAGCCCCGGCUAACUACGUGCCAGCAGCCGCGGUAAUACGUAGGGGGCAAGCGUUGUCCGGAAUGACUGGGCGUAAAGGGCGUGUAGGCGGCCGAUUAAGUCUGAAGUGAAAUUCCCGCUUUUAAGGUGGGAACUGCUUUGGAUACUGGUCAGCUUGAGUGCAGGAGAGGUUAGUGGAAUUCCCAGUGUAGCGGUGAAAUGCGUAGAGAUUGGGAGGAACACCAGUGGCGAAGGCGACUAACUGGACUGUAACUGACGCUGAGGCGCGAAAGUGUGGGGAGCAAACAGGAUUAGAUACCCUGGUA
rnacentral:rRNA from 1 species